rnacentral:rRNA from 1 species
ACUCCUACGGGAGGCAGCAGUAGGGAAUCUUCCACAAUGGGCGCAAGCCUGAUGGAGCAACACCGCGUGAGUGAAGAAGGGUUUCGGCUCGUAAAGCUCUGUUGUUAAAGAAGAACACGUAUGAGAGUAACUGUUCAUACGUUGACGGUAUUUAACCAGAAAGUCACGGCUAACUACGUGCCAGCAGCCGCGGUAAUACGUAGGUGGCAAGCGUUAUCCGGAUUUAUUGGGCGUAAAGAGAGUGCAGGCGGUUUUUCAAGUCUGAUGUGAAAGCCUUCGGCUUAACCGGAGAAGUGCAUCGGAAACUGGAUAACUUGAGUGCAGAAGAGGGUAGUGGAACUCCAUGUGUAGCGGUGGAAUGCGUAGAUAUAUGGAAGAACACCAGUGGCGAAGGCGGCUACCUGGUCUGCAACUGACGCUGAGACUCGAAAGCAUGGGUAGCGAACAGGAUUAGAUACCCCUGGUAGGAUAGCG